GACGAACCGAGCGAACGUUGUUCGGAAUCGCUGGGCUUAAAGGGCGCGUAGGCGGGCAUCCAAGUCUGUGGUGAAAUCCGGCAGCUUAACUGUCGAAUUGCCAUGGAUACUGGGUGUCUCGAGGGAGGCAGGGGUGCGCGGAACUAAUGGUGGAGCGGUGAAAUGCGUUGAUAUCAUUAGGAACUCCGGUGGCGAAGGCGGCGCACUGGUCCUUUUCUGACGCUGAGGCGCGAAAGCCAGGGGAGCAAACGGG
rnacentral:misc_RNA from 1 species